GCUUAACACAUGCAAGUCGCACGGGCAGUAGCAAUACGUGUCAGUGGCGGACGGGUGAGUAACGCGUAGGAAUCUAUCCUUGAAGUGGGGGACAACCGUGGGAAACUACGGCUAAUACCGCAUGAUGCCUGAGGGCCAAAGACGAAAGUCGUUUGAGGAGGAGCCUGCGUCUGAUUAGGUAGUUGGUGGGGUAAAGGCCUACCCAAGCCUACGAUCAGUAGCUGGUCUGAGAGGAUGAUCAGCCACAUUGGGACUGAGACACGGCCCAAACUCCUACGGGAGGCAGCAGUGGGGAAUAUUGGACAAUGGGCGCAAGCCUGAUCCAGCAAUGCCGCGUGGGUGAAGAAGGUCUUCGGAUUGUAAAGCCCUUUUGGCGGGGACGAUGAUGACGGUACCCGCAGAAUAAGCUCCGGCUAACUUCGUG
rnacentral:rRNA from 1 species